rnacentral:lncRNA from 1 species
GUUCACCAAAAGUGAAAAUGGGGUGAUAGGGGGGGGGGCAACGGCCGGGGCACGAGACAUGGCGGUCGGCCGAGACAGUUUGAUACCAGUGCUCCCCCGAAACAUGCUCGCGGUGUUGGUGAUCGUUGCUGUUCGCGAGUGUGUGUUUGUACCGGCGUGUCGUUUGAGUGGAGUGCCGCUCGCGCGGGCAUGGAUCUCAUCACGCUCGCUACCAGUUUCCUUGCCGUUUUCGCGUGUGGGUUGUUGGUGUCCGGUGGUCGAGUUUCCCCGCACAGCCAGAGCGACAUCAAGUUUCUGGCCAGCAGUGAUCCUCAUCUCAAGAAGCAAGCCCGUCUGCUUGCUGCCACCUGCGAUUGCAAUAAACAAGGGGCAUGGCGGCCGAUAUUGAAGCAUCCCGUAUUCUCGGACCACCACCUGCACCACGGAUACGGACACGGGCACGGCAUGGUCACGGACACGACAUCGUGGAUAAGCUGAAGGCGCACGGAUUUGACGUGGGCGAUACCCGCGGUCACCCCCCUUACAACCGCGACCCCUCCGCCAAGAACCACAACCACCUGAUUCACCUCCACCUCAUCCCGCACAUCUACGUCCCCAUCAUGCACCCCGUCUCUUACCAGGUUCACGAGGAGCCGCAGGAACAUAACGACGUCGGGGGCGGCUCGAGCGAGGAGUCGCACCCUUCGACGCCGGCCACCUCGCAGGAGGACACGGGGACCACGAGCAGCGAGGACACGAGCCUCCAGAACGGACACGACCACGGACACGAGCAGGAUCACGGACACGGGCAGAGCGGACACGGUGGCGGGAAGGACAACGGACAGUUCUACACGAUUCCACCGGAGGCGUACGAGAUCCACGAGGACCACAUCCAGCACUACCACCACAUCUUCGACCCAACCAACAGCAUAGAGGACUUCGACAUACCCAAGGACAAGAACCACCACCUGGUUCUCGGACACCGCGGCCGGAACGUCCGACAUCAGUAUGAGGUGCAUGAGGAUCCAAGCAAAGACAACUUCAUCAACACUGGCCAGUUCAACAACAUUCCUGCGGGAAGCAACAACGCUCCUCAGUUGUACCAACCGAUCCAACCAGUGCUCUACAUAAACAAAAGGCCGUAUCUGCGCAUUCCCGUUCCUGCUCUGCCUAAGACGAGACAUCGAUACAUGCGAAAACUAAUGAGUAGGCAAGACAUAGAGAAACUGAAAACGAUGAAACCACCGAGUCUUGGACAAAAGCAAACUUGGUUGGUCCCUCCGAGACCAAUAUUGCAACCGGCACCAAUUGUGAAAUUGCCGACAACUUUGAAAAUCAGUUCACCUGUGCCACCCCUUAGACCUUACACGAUUGCUCACCCACAAAAGGUUGUUUAUUUGGUCAAUGUGCGGAAAAAAUCAGAUAGGAGAAAAAAAUAG